rnacentral:pre_miRNA from 1 species
CAGAAAGGAUCCCUUUCUGUGCAGGUUGGGAGAGGUGGCAGUGCUCUAUGCUAAAGUGGUAUUGCACUUGUCCCGGCCUGUUGAGGACAGGGGAACAGUUCUG